rnacentral:rRNA from 1 species
UACGAAGGGGACUAGCGUUGUUCGGAAUUACUGGGCGUAAAGCGCGCGUAGGCGGAUCGCUAAGUCAGGGGUGAAAUCCCAGGGCUCAACCCUGGAACUGCCUUUGAUACUGACGAUCUGGAGAUCGGGAGAGGUGAGUGGAAUUCCGAGUGUAGAGGUGAAAUUCGUAGAUAUUCGGAAGAACACCAGUGGCGAAGGCGGCUCACUGGACUGGUAUUGACGCUGAGGUGCGAAAGCGUGGGGAGCAAACAGG